ACGGGGUUUAACGGACGGCUUAUCACAAGAAAGCAGCCGCGGUAAAACGUAGGUCCCGAGCGUUGUUCGGAUUCACUGGGUGUAAAGGGCGCGUAGGUGGUUGUCUGUGUCUCAUGUGAAAACUCAGGGCUCAACUCUGAGAUUGCGUGGGAAACUAGGCAGCUAGAGGACGGUAGAGGGGAGUGGAAUUCCCGGUGUAGCGGUAAAAUGCGUAGAUAUCGGGAGGAACACCGGUGGCGAAGGCGGCUCUCUGGGCCGAUCCUGACGCUGAGGCGCGAAAGCUAGGGGAGCGAACCGGAUUAGAUACCCGGGUAGUCCUAGCCGUAAACGAUGGGUGCUAGGUGUUGGGGGGUAAAGACCCUUCAGUGCCGAAGCCAACGCGGUGAGCAUCCCACCUGGGGAGUACGGCCGCAAGGUUGAAACUCAAAGGAAUUGACGGUGGGGGGGGGGGGGGGGA
rnacentral:rRNA from 1 species